AGUUGGCGCUGAAGAGAGAAGUUAAAAGGAGAAGGGGGGGGGGAAGAGGGAAGAAGAAAGAGGGGGGGAAAGAGAGAGAGAGAAGAGAGGAGAAGAGAAGAGAGAAGGAGAAGGGGGGGGGGGGGAAAAGAGGGAAGAAGGAAGAGGAGGGGGGGAAAGGAGGGAAGAGGAGGGGGGGAAAGGAGGGAAGAAGAAAGAGGGGAGGGAGGAGAAGAGGAGAAGAGGAGAAUUAAAAAAUCGAUUUUAUUAUUUUUUAAUUUAAUCUUUUUGAAAGCCGAAAGCCGGGUAGCCGGUGGGGACGCCGUCGUACCUACAAAAUCAAAAAGAAAAAUGAGAUUUUUUUUUUUUAAUUUUUUUUAGCCAUACUGAUUCAAAAAUCAAAGUUUAAUAUUUAAAAGCUAGAUGGUUGGGGUACAAUCUAAAUUUUAUUUUUAAUUAAAAGUCGGGUAGCACACGUUGGGGCAAAUUUUCCUUUUUUUUUUUUUUUUUUUUUGAAAACCAGGCAGCCAGUGGGGCGAAAUCUGAAAAAUCGGAACAUUCAAAUGCGAAAGCCGGGUAGCCGAUGGGGUAAAUUUUCAAUUUUUUUUCUUGCUUUGAAAGCGGGGUAGCCGGUGGGGCAUAACUGAAAUUUUUAUUUUAUUUUAUUUUUUUAUUUUUAUUUUUAUUUUUAUUUUUAUUUUUAUUUUUAUUUUUAUUUUUAUUUUUAUUUUUAUUUUUUAUUUUUAUUUUUUAUUUUUAUUUUUUAUUUUUUAUUUUUUAUUUUUUAUUUUUUAUUUUUUAUUUU
rnacentral:misc_RNA from 1 species